CGGCCAGUUUUUAAAAUAUCUUUAUUUCUGUUCCGGUCAUCACCAAAAUUACACAAAAGCCGGGCUUGAAUAUACAACAAAUUUUGAAUCUCAUCAAGCACAAAAAUACUUAACGUGUAACCAAAAUAUGCUCAUGAAAUCGAAAUUAAUAGCUAAAUUUUCAAACUAGACCCUUCUCGAGCCGGUUUUCAUGAAGGAAGUUCACAUUUCGGCCUUUGAUUCUUGGCAAAAAUUUGACCACAACACGUGCGAAGCAACUGGGUCUAAAGACUCAGCUAAAACAUUGUGAGCCCCUAUUUUCCUGACGAUAUGUUUGAUACCUACAAACGCCGAAAAGUUUUUUCUUUUCAUUUAGCUAUAUUUGAAAUUGAGGCCACGGGCUAUUUUUGAGAAAAUACAGUUCAAAGUCAAGCUAUUUUUACAUAUUUUCAAAAUUUGUCAAAUUUCGCGAGCUCGUAUUUUGAACUUAGACAGCUGAAGUUACAUUAAGAAACAUAGGAUGGAAAAUUUGAG